GUGAAUCAUCGAAUUUUUGAACGCAAAUUGCACUAUCUUCGGAGAGGAUGCCUGUUUGAGGGUCAGCCUAUAAAAAUCGACAUCGUUGCUGUUUCGCGGUGGCGUUGGUCGGAAAUUGGGUCAUCUUAAAUGCUUUUGAUUUAAGUGUGUUAAAAUUUUCUUUUGGUUCAUUGAACGUUUUUAAGGUCUAUUUCUUUACAUGUUUAAGGUAUGGAUUUUUAUUAGACGUGACAAUAAUAUCGGAUCGCGUUCUUA
rnacentral:misc_RNA from 1 species